AUUGAACGCUGGCGGCAUGCCUUACACAUGCAAGUCGAACGGCAGCACGGGGGCGAACCCUGGUGGCGAGUGGCGAACGGGUGAGUAAUACAUCGGAACGUGCCCGGUACGUGGGGAGUAGCUCGGCGAAAGCCGGAUUAAUACCGCAUACGACCUACGGUGAAAGCGGGGAGUCGCAAGACCUCGCGCCAUCGGAGCGGCCGAUGUCAGAUUAGGUUGUUGGUGGGGUAAAGGCCUACCAAGCCGACGAUCUGUAGCUGGUCUGAGAGGACGACCAGCCACACUGGGACUGAGACACGGCCCCAGACUCCUACGGGAGGCAGCAGUGGGGGAAUUUUGGACAAUGGGCGCAAGCCUGAUCCAGCAAUG
rnacentral:rRNA from 1 species